UCGUCGUCGUUGUCGUCGUCGUCGUUGUCGUCGUCGUCGUCGUCGUUGUUGUUGUUGUCGUUGUUGUUGUUGUCGUCGUCGUCGUCGUUGUUGUUGUCGUUGUUGUUGUUGUUGUUGUUUUUGUUGUUGCUGUAGUAGUAGUAGUAGUAGUUGUUGUUGUUGUUCUUGUUGUCAUUGUUGUUGUUGUUCUCGUCAUUGUCUAUGUUGUUGUCAUUGUGGUCGUCGUCGUCCUCACUGUAGUUGUUG
rnacentral:lncRNA from 1 species